rnacentral:rRNA from 1 species
AGUGAACGCUGGCGGUAGGCCUAACACAUGCAAGUCGAACGGCAGCACAGUGAGAGCUUGCUCUUACGGGUGGCGAGUGGCGGACGGGUGAGGAAUACAUCGGAAUCUACUUUUUCGUGGGGGAUAACGUAGGGAAACUUACGCUAAUACCGCAUACGACCUACGGGUGAAAGCAGGGGAUCUUCGGACCUUGCGCGAUUGAAUGAGCCGAUGUCGGAUUAGCUAGUUGGCGGGGUAAAGGCCCACCAAGGCGACGAUCCGUAGCUGGUCUGAGAGGAUGAUCAGCCACACUGGAACUGAGACACGGUCCAGACGCCUACGGGAGGCAGCAGUGGGGAAUAUUGGACAAUGGGCGCAAGCCUGAUCCAGCCAUACCGCGUGGGUGAAGAAGGCCUUCGGGUUGUAAAGCCCUUUUGUUGGGAAAGAAAAGCAGCAGGUUAAUACCCCGCUGUUCUGACGGUACCCAAAGAAUAAGCACCGGCUAACUUCGU